rnacentral:lncRNA from 1 species
UUCCAUUAUCUGCAACUGCAGCUAAUAGAAAUUAGUAAGAGUUAUUAGGUACCAAUGAACACUGGGCUUUGGGUGAAAAUUAUAAGCUUUUAUAUCUAGCUGAUGGGCCUUGUACCUAAUAGUAUUUGGCUUGGUUUUUUAGAGUGAUUUCCAUCUCAUGCCUGUUGCUUUUGUACCAUUCAUUUUAUGUAUUUUUAAUUGUUUAAAGAAGAGCUGCUCGGGUUUUAUAAGUGGUGUUUUUCUCCUUCUUUUAGGUCUCUCUGCAAUGCAAUCAAUGUUUACAACCUCACCUGCAAUAACUGUUCAGAAAACUGCACUGAUGUUCUGUUUAGUAACAAGAUUACCUUCUUAAUGGACCUCCUGAUACACCAGUUGACGGUUUAUGUUCCAGAUGAAAAUAAUACUGUUUUGGGAAGAAAUACAAAUAAACAAGUUUUUGAGGGCUUGACAACGGGACUUCUCAAAGUCAGUGCUGUGGUUUUGGGCUGCCUGAUUGCCAGUCGACCAGAUGGAAACUGCCAGCCAGCUACCCCCAAAAUACCAACACAGGAAAUGAAAAACAAACCCUCACAAGGUGAUGCUUUUAACAAUCGAGUUCAGGACCUUAUCAGCUACGUGGUGAACAUGGGUCUGAUUGACAAACUGUGUGCCUGCUUCCUCUCGGUGCAAGGCCCAGUGGAUGAGAAUCCCAAGAUGGCCACAUUUCUGCAGCAUGCCACAGGACUCUUACAUGCAAUGUGCACAUUGUGCUUUGCUGUCACUGGAAGGUCAUACAGCAUAUUUGACAAUAAUCGCCAGGAUCCCACAGGGCUGACAGCUGCUCUUCAGGCAACCGACCUGGCUGGAGUUCUUCAUAUGCUCUACUGUGUCCUCUUCCAUGGCACCAUCUUGGACCCUAGCACUGCCAGUCCCAAGGAAAAUUACACCCAAAAUACCAUCCAAGUAGCCAUUCAGAGUUUACGUUUCUUCAACAGCUUUGCAGCUCUUCAUCUGCCUGCUUUUCAGGUAAUAGUGCAGUCCGGCCGCCACCCCACAGUGCUGCAGAAGCUCUGCCAGUUGCCCUUCCAGUAUUUCAGUGACCCACGGCUGAUCAAAGUACUGUUCCCUUCACUUAUCGCUGCUUGUUACAACAACCAUCAGAACAAGAUCAUUCUGGAGCAAGAGAUGAGCUGUGUUUUACUGGCCACUUUCAUUCAGGAUUUGGCACAGACUCCAGGUCAAGCAGAAAACCAGCCUUACCAGCCCAAAGGUAUGUCUCUAUUGAAAUUAAAUUUCAUGUGUUUGUUAGCCAAAUGAACAUCUUUCUUAUCCUUUCCUCUGGAACUUUUACAUUGUAUGUACAAUUUUAUACAUAACCUAAAAUUUGAGAUUCAGAUACCAAAUAUAUUUCAGUAAGUAAAAAAAUCAAUUUUGUUAUGAAGCAUGAAUGCAUCCAAAUAUGUAUAGAAAUCUAUGGGAGUAAAAGAAAAGCACAAAUAUCUUUGUAUAAUAAUCAUCUCAUGCAAGAUAUAUUAAAUGGUGAAUAAUCACUAAAGAGCUGCUUUGUGAUACAGGAGCCAGAUCAUUAAUAUUGGCCCACAUGACUUGCAUAAAUGCUGAAAUCACAUAGGUCUGGUUCCUUAUCCAUGUUCAGAAUAAAGUUAUCAGUAAUAGUAGCCCACAAUUUCCCCCUAAGUUCGAGUACUUGAAAUUUUGUUUUGAAAAUAAUUGUUUUACAUGGAGAAAAAGUCAUCUAAUUGGCAAAGUCCAGGGCAAAAGAUUUACAAGUUUUUUUUUCCUAUAGCAUUCCUGCUGGGGUGUUUGCUGUGAUCAGAGUCAGAGAUUUAGAAUUGUUACCACAUUUUUACUUUUUUAAAUAUUCUGCUACCCAGACUGUAAUUGAGAAGUACAAGUUGCUCUUUGGCUGUUAUGACAGCAUCUCUGAUGAAUGAGACCCUAAUCCAGAUCUUCUUCAAUUCUUCCAUUAAUUUGAUAGUCUUUAAAGUGGCCAUUUAGAGGUAUACUCCCAGCAGGACCCUUUAGGGUACCCACCAAGAAACCUUUACUUGGUGGGGGUGGGAGGUGUUACCUUGGACUCUUUCACACACACACACAAAAAAGUCCUGUACAGUGGACAGGUGUUGAAAAGUGCAAAGAAAAUAUAACUAAAGCUGUUACAAUAUCAUGAAGGAAAAAAAAAGACAUUUUAUUGACUCAGGCACCCAGAAAAGUUAAACAGAAGGCUAUACGACUUUUCAGAAAUCCAAGUCAGCAUCCUUGUCGGUACCAUUUGUCUGAGCAAGAAUUAGUCUGCAAGUUCAGUUCUGCCCUGACCCAGUCACAGCCCUUUUUGUUUUGUUUUGUUUUGUUUUGUUUUGUUUUGUUUUGUUUUGUUUUGUUUAACUACUGGCGGAUACUUGGGAGAAAUCAGCAAAAUGUGUUAACUACUCUUACAAAACAAUUUUAUUUUGAAUAAAUUAAAAUGCUUGGAAAAAUCUUACUUAUUUUCAAUUGUACAGCUAUUUUGUUUUGUUUUGUUUGCCACUAAGAAGUAUAAGCAUUUUUUUCUGUUUCUCCUGAUCAUAAAGAUGAGUCACAAUUUGUUACAUGGUCUGGAAGACACAGUCCCAGAAGCUGCCUCUGUCUGCUUGGUGGACUGAGGCCUGUGGAAGUCAACCUUCUGUCUUUUCCAAGGGACCAUCUUCCCUGAUUUUCAUGCUUUCCCCAGUUACAGUAGCUUAACUCACAGAACAGCAAAUAGGGAAUUGGUCUCUCCUUUGCUCAGAAAGGGUCAUCACUAUGUUAAUGACAGCUCAUAAUAUGUUGCUUUUUUUUUUUUUUUUUUAAUGAUGAUGCCUCACUAAGUUGCCAGUUUGCAACUUGGAUUAUUUGUUCCCCUUUUGCCUAGAUUAAGUCCCCAUAAAAUGUCUCAAGUAUUUUGAGUUCAUUGUCCAGGUAAACCUUUAAGUAUAAAAGCAGCUCUUGGUAACACCACAUUCCUACUGCCCAGGAAGAAUUUUGGUUUUCAAAUACCCACUGUCUGUCUAGCUGCAAUUGUUUACUUUACCUAUGCCACUGGCCAGUACAGCUCCUAUCAUUCAUUCCUACUGCUUUGUUAGAUAGGCAGUGCCAGAUUUGAAUAAUUUUAAAGAUAUACUUAAACUACAUUCAUGUUUUAAAUUAAAUAGACUUUCAGAAAACGUCAUCAUUUACAUAAAGUUUUCCCCUUUCAUGGCUAACUUAAGGAUAGAAUAUAGGACUGUCAUUUUAGUUUGUUUGCUUUUUUUUUUUUUUUUUUUUUUUUUUUUUUUUUUUUUUUUUUUUUUUGAGACAGGGUCUAUGUUGCCUAUCCUGGAGUGCAGUCACUACUCACAGGUGCGAUCAUAGCAAACUAUAGCCUCUAACUCCUGGGCUUAAGCAGUCCCCCUACUGCAGCCUUCCAAAUAGCUGGAACUACAGGCAUGCACCACUGUGCUUGCCUGGUUGCUAAUUUUUUUCUCAUUGUGGAGUCCAAAAACAUCUUUUUUUGUAAUUUCUGUAAGAGUUAAUGUCUGAAUAUGUUAAAGCACAAACUGGAUUGUGGUUAAAAUAUGUCAUAUAUUUUAUACUACAGAUAGAUUGAUACACAUAGAUCAAUCACCUUAUUUACCUAAAAUGUGUCAUGGUUUAUUUGAAGGGGGUAUCUCCAUUUUAUACUCAGAUAUCAAAAUAAGUUUAAUUUAUGAAUCUUCAAAGAAUUUAACCCUCUUUUAUUUCACUUUUUUCUCUUUUUUUCCCCCUCAGGGAAAUGCCUUGGUUCCCAAGACUAUCUUGAGCUGGCUAACAGAUUUCCUCAGCAGGCCUGGGAAGAAGCUCGACAGUUUUUCUUGAAAAAAGAGAAAAAAUAAAUAAAUGUUUUGGUUGAUUCUGUAUUUGAGUACCCUUGUUAAUAUUUUAAAUUGUUCAAACAAACAUUCUAAUUGUUCCUUAAGAACUCAUUUUCACAUGUUUAUACUCUCCCCACACUGUAGAUAUGGCAUGUACUUUACACUAUUUAUGACUGUAGAUACUUGAAUGUUCUACUUGCUAAUUUUGCAAGUUGAGUGUAUUUCAUUUAUGCAAAAUAUCUUGGAGUUUGAUAACUUCCAUCUAAUGAUAAUAUAUACUUUGCAUUUGUAAUAUUGGUGAAAGUAGACAUAAAAUUAGCAAGUCUGUUUUGUUCUUGUAAUAAAAUAACUUAUUCUGUUUUCAUUGUUGACUUUUCAUGUUAAGGAAAUACAAAUCUGAAAGAAAAAUGUUAACUCCACCCCUUGAAGUAUCUUAAAUAAAGACUUAAUUAAAGUUUACCUGCU